rnacentral:rRNA from 1 species
GUCUUUUUGAUUUAAAUAUAAAGUAUAACCUGCCCAUUGAAAUUUUUAAAAGGCUGCGGUAUAUUGACCGUACAAAGGUAGCAUAAUCAUUAGUUUUUUAAUUGAGAACUUGUAUGAAUGGUUGAAUGAGAAAUUAACUUUUUUAAUAAAAAAAUUGAAUUUUACAUUUUAAUUAAAAGGUUAAAAUGUAUUUAAAAGACGAGAAGACCCUAUAGAGUUUUAUAAUUUAUAACUUAAUAUUAAAAAAAAUUAAUAGAUAUUUUUAUUUAAAUCAUUAUUUUGUUGGGGUGAUGAUAAAAUUUAAUUAACUUUUAUUUUUUUUUACAUUAAUAUAUGGAAAAUUGAUCCACUAUUAGUGAUUAAAAGAUUAAAUUACCUUAGGGAUAACAGCGUAAUUUUUUUUUUAAGUUCAUAUUAAUAAAAAAUUUUGCGACCUCGAUGUUGGAUUAAGAUUUAAUUUUAGGUGCAGAAGUUUAAAAUUUAAGUCUGUUCGACUUUUAAAUUCUU